rnacentral:rRNA from 1 species
GACGAACGCUGGCGGCGUGCUUAACACAUGCAAGUCGAACGGAAAGGCCCUGCUUUUGUGGCGUGCGCGAGUGGCGCACGGGUGAGUAACACGUGAGUAGCCUGCCCUUGACUUUGGGAUAACUUCAGGAAACUGGGGCUAAUACCGGAUAGGAGCUCCUGCUGCAUGGUGUGGGUUGGUAAGUUUCGCCGGUUGGUGAUGGACUCGCGGUUUAGCAGCUUGUUGGUGGGGUAGUGGAUUACCAAGGCAUUGACGGGUAGCCGGCUUGAGAGGGUGACCGGCCACAUUGGGACUGAGAAACGGCCCAGACGCCUACGGGAGGAAGCAGUGGGGAAUAGUGCACAAUGGGCGGAAGCCGGAUGCAGCAACGCCGCGUGCGGGAUGACGGCCGUCGGGUUGUAACCCGCUUUCGCCUGUGACGAAGCGUGAGUGACGGUAAUGGGUAAAGAAGCACCGGCUAACUACGUG